ensembl:lncRNA
CUUAACGGGAGUGGUUUGUUACACAGCCAUGCGUAACAGAUAUUGACUUUGAAACAUUUGCCAGUCUUAUGUGUAUGAGAUUCCACCUGUACGUGAUAUCAUAUGAUAUUUGUCUUUGUCUGACUUCGCUUAGUAUGAUCAUCUCCAGGCUCGUCCAUGUUGCUGCACACGACUGCUAUGACUGAGUAGUAUUCCACUGUGUGCAGUGGCAGAAGCCCCAGAGCCUCCAGCAAGAAUCAAUGGGAAACUACUGGGUCAGAAGGCUCUCUGGUAUAAAAGAAAGUGAGGCUGGAACCGGCUGUCCUCAUGUUGAGGCAGAGACAGCUGGGUGGCGGCGAAGGGUUUCAACACACCCUCCAGCCCCCUGGAUUGGCAGUUAGGAAUUUUCAGAUCAAAAAUGGUAUGCUUCCAAGUGUUUAUACCUGGGAGCAGAAGAGCAAAACUAAGAAAUGCCUGAGGUCUCCUGGAGCUUACUUUGCCCAGAUGAAGUGAUUACAAAAAAACAAGAAAUGCAUGAAAUAGAUGCCAACGAUUCCAAAGACUAAUGUUGGAAAGUCUUUGUAUUUUGGAAGGCAUUCUCAAAAUGUAAAUGCUUUGGAGGCUGUGGAAACAGACAUAUGUAUAUGAAAGUAAAAUCAGGAGCGCUUAGAAGCUGGAUAAGUAAAGAGAAUGAGAAAGCCAGCAAUAAGUGCCAAAUUACUUUUUAAAUCUAGAAAUCGAUCAUGUCACUUUCUCAGCUUAAAAUGUUUCUGUGGUUCUCUAUCACACUAAGAAUAAAUUCAAAACUCCUUACCCUGGCCCUGUGUGACUUGAAACUGCCUUUGCAAUCUUACCUUACUAUCUAACUCUCUUAUGACGAUACGAUCAGUCAGAUGGCCUUCUCGCCACACUUCUCACACCAGUAGGGUUUGUGCGCUCGCUUUGUCCUCUGCUGGGUAAUGCUUUUCCAGAAUGUAAACAAGUCUGCUCAAAAUGGAGGACUAAACAGAUGCAGACUAUGCCCCAAGUUUAAAAACACAGAGCCAAACCUAAAAACAAAAGACAGUGUUCCCG